rnacentral:rRNA from 1 species
UAGGGAAUCUUGGGCAAUGGGCGAGAGCCUGACCCAGCCAUGCCGCGUGCCGGACGAAGGCGCUUGGCGUUGUAAACGGCUUUUACCCUUGAAGAACGGCCCGUAUGCGUACGGGUGUGACGGUAGAGGGGGAAUCAGCACCGGCUAACUCCGUGCCAGCAGCCGCGGUAAUACGGAGGGUGCAAGCGUUGUCCGGAUUUAUUGGGUUUAAAGGGUGCGUAGGUGGGCGGCUAAGUCUGGUUUGAAAGCGGGUGGCUCAACCAUCCGAUGUGGCUGGAAACUGGUGGUCUGGAAUGGGCUGGCGGCUGCUGGAACGGGUCAUGUAGCGGUGAAAUGCAUAGAUAUGACCCAGAACUCCGAUUGCGAAGGCAGGCAGCUACGGCUUGAUUGACACUGAGGC